rnacentral:lncRNA from 1 species
GGAAUCUCAGGAACAGAAGAUACCAUAGAAACAUCUACACAACCAUCAAAGAUAAUAUAAAAUGCAAAAACCUCCUAGCCCAAAACAUAUAGGAAAUUCAGGAUACAAUGAGAAGAUGAAACCUAAGGUUCAUAGGUAUAGAAAAGACUGAAGACUCCCAAAUUAAAGGGCCAGUAAAUAUCUUCAACAAAAUUAUAGAAAAAAACUUCCCUAACCUAAAAGAUGAGAUGCCCAUAAAUAUUCAAGAAGCCUACUGAAUUCCAAAUAGAUUGGACCAGAAAAGAAAUUCCUCCUGUCACAUAGUAGUCAAAACACCAAAUGCACAAAACAAAGAAAGAAUAUUAAAAGCAGUAAGGGAAAAAGGUCAAGUAACAUAUAAAGGCAGACUUAUCAGAAUAAUACCAGACUUCUCAACAGAAACUAUGAAAGCCAGAAGACCCUGGACAGAUGUCAUACAGACCCUAAGAGAACACAAAUGCCAGCCCAGGUUACUAUAUCCAGCAAAACUCUCAAUUAACAUAGAUGGAGAAACCAAAAUAUUCCAUGAUAAACCUAAAUUCACACAAUAUCUUUCUACAAACCCAGCCCUUCAAAGGAUAAUAGAUGGAAAACUCCAACACAAGGAGGGAAACUACACCCUAGAAAAAGCAAAAAGGUAAUCUCCUUGUAACAAAACCAAAAGAAGAGAAACACACAAACAUAAUCCCACCUCUAAAUACGAAAAUAAUAGGAAGAAACAAUCACUAUUCCUUAAUAUCUCUCAACAUCAAUUGACUCAAUUCCCCAAUGAAAAGACAUAGACUAACAGACUGGAUACAUAAAGAGGACCCAGCAUUUUGCUGCAUACAGGAAACCCCUCAGAGACAAAGAAAGACACUACCUCAGAGUAAAAGGCUGGAAAACAACUUUCCAAGCAAAUGGUCCACAGAAACAAGCUGG